AACUUUUAGCAAUGGAUCACUUGGCUCUCGCAUCGAUGAAGAACGCAGCGAAAUGCGAUAAGUAAUGUGAAUUGCAGAAUUCGGUGAAUCAUCGAAUCAUUGAACGCAUCUUGCGCUCCUUGGUAUUCCGAGGAGCAUGCCUGUUUGAGUGUCAUUUGACUUCUCUCAACCACAUCGUCUUUGUCAAUGUGGCUUGGAUGUGGGGGAAUUUCUUUGCGGGCUUUUUUAAUUUAAUAAGAAGCCAGCUCCCCUGAAAUGCAUUAGUGGUGUCUGAGCUGCUAUUGGUGUGAUAAUUUAUCUAUGCCUUUGGUAAUGCUGGUCAGUGCUGCUUAUAACAAGACAAAAUUCAUUUGACAAAUUUGACCUCAAAUCAGGUAGGACUACCCGCUGAACUUAAGCAUAUCAAUAAGCGGAGGCU
rnacentral:misc_RNA from 1 species